rnacentral:rRNA from 1 species
UACAGAGGUCUCAAGCGUUGUUCGGCUUCAUUGGGCGUAAAGGGUGCGUAGGCGGCGCGGUGAGUCGGGUGUGAAAUCUCGGGGCUUAACUCCGAAACUGCAUUCGAUACUGCCGUGCUUGAGGACUGGAGAGGAGACUGGAAUUUACGGUGUAGCGGUGAAAUGCGUAGAUAUCGGGAGGAACACCAGUGGCGAAAGCGGCUACCUGGCCCAUUCUGGACGCUGAGGCGCGAAAGCUAGGGGAGCAAACGGG